UCUCAGAUGGUCCAGUGGUCAAGAUUUCCGCCUGUCAAUAUUUGUAUUAUGGUACAAAAACCUAUUUGCUCGCGGACGACCGGGGUUCGAUUCCCCGUCUGAGAG
rnacentral:tRNA from 1 species